rnacentral:rRNA from 1 species
AUUGAACGCUGGCGGUAGGCCUAACACAUGCAAGUCGAACGAGUGGCGGACGGGUGAGUAAUGUCUGGGAAACUGCCUGAUGGAGGGGGAUAACUACUGGAAACGGUAGCUAAUACCGCAUACCAUCGGAUGUGCCCAGAUGGGAUUAGCUAGUAGGUGGGGUAAAGGCUCACCUAGGCGACGAUCCCUAGGUGGUCUGAGAGGAUGACCUGCCUCACUGGAAAGGAGACAGGGGCCAGGAGCCUACGGGAGGCAGGAGUGGGGAAUAUUUCACAAUGGGCGCAAGCCUGAUGCAGCCAUGCCGCGUGUAUGAAGAAGGCCGUCGGGUUGUAAAGUACUUUCAGCGGGGAGGCGUUACCCGCAGAAGAAGCACCGGCUAACUCCGGGCCAGCAGCCGCGGUAAUAC